GUCUCAAAUGUGCUGUGCAAAUAGCUUGCAGAGGCCAUGAGGACGUCACAUUUUUGUAAGAGAGCGAGCGCUAGAUCUGAGUUUUGAGGAGUUCCUUCUACCAUCGUGGGACACGGUGAGAGAUGAGUGGUUGGGGAGGUCAGAGCUGGGGGGAAACCUCCUGCCAUGGCCCAGAGAGAGGGACCAGGCAUGGACUGGAGAGAAACGGAUGGCUGCCCUGAGCCUCACAGAUGACCCUUCAUCCUCCUCCUCCUUGGCUGGCAGGCAUAAAGCAGAUCAACCAAGGUCCAGGGGAGGAGGGGCGCUUCCAGAGCCCUCCCGGGGUUUCUUUUCUUUCUCCGUUUUCCCUUCUUCCUUCCCCAUUUCCUUCCCUUAUCAUUGAGUGUCCCCUAACCACCCCCCUUCCCCCACCUCAGGCCUGUCUGGCUUCGCUGGCUGAGCGGCCCUUGUGGUGGUUAUGGCAGGUGUGAGGCUUUAGAGGCCAUCCUGCCCUCAACAAGGGGAUGGCUGUGGAGCAUCAUCCCAAUUCUGCAGCCUCUCAUCUGAAGCUCAGGCCAUCAGGAGGGAGCCCUCAGGCUUCUCUCUGACGUUUCUUCCAUUUGUCAACCUCUCAGCUCCUCAGCUCAGGUCACAGACAAGGUGGAGGAGCCCCCAGCACGUUUAGGCAGGCUCUUUCCCUGUCACCCCUCACCACCCCGCACCAUACACUAACCUGGAGGUCUCCUGGGUACUUUGCCAAGUCAGGGAAUGAGAAAGGUCUGACCCUGUGGCUUCAGGCUAGAACUCUCCCCCAUCUACUUGGCUCUGGUCCCUGAGCCAGCUGCCCAUCCUUCCAGGGCACAGUGGAUGCAAAC
rnacentral:lncRNA from 1 species